rnacentral:lncRNA from 1 species
AAAAGUUGGAAUAUAGAAAAGCCAGUAGUAAAACUAAUCAAGAAAAAGAGAGAAGCAAUUCAAAUUUAAAAAUAUAUAUAAAAAUAAAAAUAAAAUAAAAAGAGAAGGGGAAAUGGACACAUUCUCUUAAAAACUUGAAACGCUGGCCGGGCGCAGUGGCUCACGCCUGUAAUCCCAGCACUUUGGGAGGCCCAGGCAGGUGGAUCACCUGAGGUCAGGAGUUCGAGACCUUGCUGACAUGGUGAAAGCCCCGUCUCUACUAAAAACACAAAAAAUUAGCUGGGCAUGGUGGCAGGCACCUGUAAUUCCAGCUACUCAGGAGGCUGAGGCAGGAGAAUCGCUUGAACCCGGGAGGCGGCGGUUGCAGUCAGCUGAGAUCACACCACCGCACUUCAGCCUGGGCAACAGGAGUGAAACUCUGUCUCAAAAAAAAACUUGAAAUGAUUAAUUGACAUAAGAAUUAGAAAAUCUGAAUAGCUCAACAGCCAAUUACCAAAAUCUGAAUAACCCUUUGAGGUAAGCACUAUUACUCCCCCACUGCAGAGAUGAGAAAACUAGAGAAUUGGUCAUUUGAGUACCUUGGCCAAGGUCACAGAACAGAGCCAGGAUUUGAACCCAAGCAGUCUGAUUCUGUGACUUCUCUCUACUCCAUGGUGGUGGAUUCUAUGUGUCAACUUGACUGGGCCACUGGGUGCCCAGAUUAAACAGUGUUUCUGGGUGUUUGCAGAUGAGACAAGCAUUUGAAUCUGUGGGCUCAGUAGAGCAGACUUCUCUUCCUAAUGUACGGGGGCCUCAGCCAACCCCUUGAGGGCCUGAGUAGAACAAAAGGAGAAAGAAUCUGCCCCUUUUGCUUCCUGCCUGCCUGCGUGGGCAGAUCUCAUCUCAUCUUCUCCUGCCCUUCAACUGGGAUUUACACCUCGAGGCCCCUUGGUUCCCAGGCCUUUGGACACAGACUGGAAUUGCACUACCCACUCUCCUGAGUCUCCAGCUUGCAGAUGGCAGGUCAUGGAACUUCUCAGCCUCCAUAAUAGUACCCGCUAUACCUUUGAAAGCAGGCCGUGCUAGAUCAGUGUGAGAGAUGAAAACGCUGACCCUGGACUGUCCGCCAGUGUUGGGCCCCUGUGUCAAGGGGAGUGCUCGUUUUCCAGGAAGGAAAUAAAAGAGACCCUCUGCUCUCCACCUUGAAUAAAUACAACCUUUCAACUCUGACACUCAUAGUCUUUUUCUGAAAGGCUUUCCUGCAUUCUGGUGAACUUGUAUUACAUGAACUUAAGAUAACAAGUGGCAAUGUCUUUUCAAAGCCAGUAACAUAAUCCAAAGGCAUGUCAAAGAAUGCAGUGACUCUAGCAUUUCUUAAGUGUAGGAGGCAAGAGUGACGCAAAAAGAGGCCAUGCCCUGUAGCAUCCAAGCUCUAUCGACUUAGAUCAUCCUUGGAAAAAAACUCUGAAGAAAUCAACAGCAGUUCAUUUGUUGGUCUGUGCAUUAAUUCAUCCAAAUAUUAGCACAUAUCCCAUGCCAAGCACUGUGGGCUAAGGAGGCAAAAGGGACAGGCUGUACUCUAAAGGACUUCACAGCCUGUGGGGAAAGAGAAGCCAGUGAACAACUAUAAGAUGAAUGUUCUGAUAAAGCUAUGCCUCUGGGGUAGGGGUGGAGGUGGACUGGCCUGGGGGAGGAGGUGACAUCUGAGCUGGAAGGGAGUGUGAAAUAGAGAACUGGAGGUACAAAGAGAAGCAGGAGGGCACAGAGGACCUUUAGGGAACCACUGGCAGCUUAACUGGUCAGAGUGCAGUUGUGAAGGAACAGAGUGGUAACAGGAAAGGGGAGAGAAACAGACAGGGACCAGCUCCCGAAGGAGUUUGUAGGCCUUGCUAAAAAUUUGGAUUCUAUCCCCAAACUAUAGGGAACUAGCUAACAGGUGAAUCUAAAGAUUCACCUGUUAGACUCCAACAGAAGAUGGAGGUACGGGUAGGGUGGGCAGCACGAAAAUAACUGGGAGGAGUUUGGUUUGUGUCUUCCUCUGUUUCACUGCCAGAGAUGACCAAAAAGGGGGCACUUCUCACAAUGGCAGAUGCCAUCAACUGAACCCUUUCCCACUGAGUGUAAAUAUGGCCUUGAAAUCCUUCUCACUUCAACAUUCCAGACAGGUACUCCCAAUUGGUAGAACGGGCUUGUAAGGUCACACUCAUUUGUCACCCUGGUGCUAAAGUAUGAGCCCUGGGAGAGCAGGAAUUUUAUUGACUUUAUAUCACAGUUGUAUCCUCAGUGCUUAGUGCAGUGUCUGAAGAAC